CCCUUAGAUGAUUUGGGCUGCACGCGCGCUACACUGACCCUAUCAAUGAGCAACUGUCUGGCCUGAGAUGGCUGGGUAGCCUUUUCAACCCAUGUCAUGAUUGGGCUAGAUUUUUGUAAGUCUUGAUCUCUAACGAGGAAUCCCUAGUAUGCGUGAAUCAUCAAUCCAUGCAGAUUAUGUCCCUGCCCUUUGUACACACCGCCCGUCGCUCCUACUGAUUGGGUGAUCCGGUGAGCUGUUCGGCCAUAGCAAUGUUUCUUGAGCAGGGCAAUGAAUGUUUCGCAAACCUUGCCACUUAGAGGAAGGAGAAGUCGUAACA
rnacentral:rRNA from 1 species